UUAUUGGAGAGUUUGAUCCUGGCUCAGGACGAACGCUGGCGGCGUGCCUAAUACAUGCAAGUCGAGCGGAGUUAAU
rnacentral:rRNA from 1 species